GGUGACAUCAUAUCAUCCUGAAAAAGAAAGGGGAACUAACAGCAGCUCUCCGGCCAAUUCCUUUCCCCUCUGCAGUCUCACUGUCCCCAAGCUGCUCCUGCCUCAUGGCACCAAUGGCAGUGAACCUCAUUCUCGGUUGGUGGCUGGUGACAGCGAGCAUGGCACAGCAACUGCCCCGACCCUCCCUGUCACUGCACCCCAGCCAGGGGGUGUCCCUAGGGGAUCCUGUCACCCUGCGCUGCCACCUGCCCCGGCUGGCUGCCUGGGUCUGGCUGUACCGGGAAGGAGGUUGGUCAUACACAAAGGGGAAGGAGAAGGAGCAGGACGCGGCCGAGUUCUCCUUUGUUAGCACACUGCGGGUACACGCAGGUCGUUAUCGGUGUCAGUACCAGGUGUCUGAGUCAGCCGAGGUGUCAGUGGAGAGUGACCCCGUGGAGCUGGUGCUGACAGAUGUCAGAUAUCCCCCAUCCAGCAUUUCCCUUCACCCUGAGCAACAUGUGGGAACAGGGACCAAUGUCACCAUCCGCUGCUGGAACAAGGACUAUGGGGCCACCUUCCUCCUGCACAAGGAUGGGACCUCAGCUCCUCUCCAGCACCAGGACUCCAGUGGUGGGGGCACAGCCACUUUCACACUCUUUGGGGUGACCCCAGCUGACAGUGGCACCUACAGGUGCUCCUAUCGCCCCGAGGGUUACCCCUUCAUUUCUUCACCCCUUGGGGACAGUGUAACACUGGAGGUGACACCCACACCUGCACCCCCAGGUGCUACAGGCAGUUCUCAUGGGAACCUGGUGGUGGCAGUGGUUGGUGGCUGCACUGCUGCUUUUGUCUUCUUCCUCGUCCUUAUCAUCUUCUUCCUCCUCUCUGCCCACAGACGUCGGACACAGAGAGAUGAGAGCCCUGGUGCCCCCCCCAAAAAGCCUGAGGCCAUGGAGUUCCAGGUACCUUCCAGUGAGAGCGAGGGUCUGACCUACUUGGAGCUGCAAGCUGUGACCCCCAGCACACAGCCCCCCAGCCCCCCCGCCGCCCCACAGCCCUCUGUUAUCUACACCGAGGUGGCCGUUGGGGGGCGCCACUGAUGCCUCCAUAGGUGUGCACAAACACGUGUGUGUUGUAUGCACACGUGCUUCCAGCAUGCACAGUGCACUUGUGUUGUGUGUGCUCACCAUCACGUGUGCACUGCAUACAGGUACCACUGCAUGUGUUCAUAUGUUUCCUGCAUGUGCACCAUCACAUGUGCACAACAGUUGUACACAGAUGUGCACUCCAUGAUUAACUCCGUUCCUUUGUGUCUGUGUGAUGCCACGUGUGUACACCAGUAUAUGUGCACAGUAGUGCACGUGUGUCCUUAGCAUGCUUUCUGAGACUGGUAAGGAACGCAUGAGGUGACCAGCAACACUUUGUGGACAGCUCUUCGUUCCAAAGCAUUGCUUUGGAGCCGUUUGAUUUCAAAGAGAAGCUCUCCAUAAAUGGAUGUGUAUUCCUGCUCCGAGCCUUGGCUGACUCCAUCGUGGUAUCCACCUCAGCUGACUGGGAGAGGUGCGACUCAGGAGGCAGAGAAAGAUUCACCUCCCUCCAAACCCACUCGGAGGGACGGUGCACAUCUGCUCCCUGUGCCUGCACUAUCCGUGUCCUCACUGUGUAUGUGUGUCCUCACCAUGUGCCCCACAUCAGCGCCUCGUCUGUCCCCACAGCACACACAUGUCCCUCCCGUGUGCGCAUCUCCAGCUCCACAUCCCAAACCAGCACCCGACCCACCGUGGUGUUGGGGCUAGAUUCCCAUUUCUGGAGGGUUUUAUCCCACAUUCCUGCAUGAGAAUUCUGAUUCCAAAGUGUUUCAUUCUGCUUUGUGAGGGAGGAUUCCUAUUUCUGGAAGUUUUACCCUUCCUCUACCUCUGAAGGUUUUCAUUCCUUCUUCUGGGGAUAAUUCUUGGAUCUGAAGGGUUUUCACCAACCUCUGGGAGGAGAUUUCCCAUUUCCAAAUGUUUUUGUCAUCAUUUCUGGUAGAAUUAUCAUUUAUGGAUGUAUUUGUCCAAACUUCUGCGAAAAAUUCCCCAAAUUCUUGGGGAAAAUGCAGCCCCAGGAGCAGGAGAUCCAGCCGGAGAAGGACAGAUGAACGGAUGGCCAAUGUACUGGUGAAAACCAUCUCCAAACCACUGAAAAAAUGAAAUGGUAACGCAGGGAAAAAAAAAAAAAAAAGA